rnacentral:ribozyme from 1 species
AGAGAAAGAGAAAGAGAAGAAAGAGGAAAAGAGAGAAGACAAAGAGAAAGAGAAGGAGAAGUUUUUUUUUGUAGAGAGAAAAGUUUUUUUUUUCUUUCUUUUGUUUUGUUUUUCUUUGU